UACGGAGGGAGCUAGCGUUGUUCGGAAUUACUGGGCGUAAAGCGCGCGUAGGCGGCUUUGUAAGUUAGAGGUGAAAGCCCGGGGCUCAACCCCGGAAUUGCCUUUAAGACUGCAUCGCUUGAAUCCGGGAGAGGUGGGUGGAAUUCCGAAUGUAGAGGUGAAAUUCGUAGAUAUUCGGAAGAACACCAGUGGCGAAGGCGGCUCACUGGACCGGUAUUGACGCUGAGGUGCGAAAGCGUGGGGAGCAAACAGG
rnacentral:rRNA from 1 species